AGCAAUACACCGCUGGCGACCGGCGCACGGGUGAGUAACACGUAUCCAACCUGCCCUUUACUCGGGGAUAGCCUUUCGAAAGAAAGAUUAAUACCCGAUGGUAUAACAUGACCUCCUGGUUUUGUUAUUAAAGAAUUUCGGUAGAGGAUGGGGAUGCGUUCCAUUAGGCAGUUGGCGGGGUAACGGCCCACCAAACCUUCGAUGGAUAGGGGUUCUGAGAGGAAGGUCCCCCACAUUGGAACUGAGACACGGUCCAAACUCCUACGGGAGGCAGCAGUGAGGAAUAUUGGUCAAUGGGCGAGAGCCUGAACCAGCCAAGUAGCGUGAAGGAUGACUGCCCUAUGGGUUGUAAACUUCUUUUAUAUGGGAAUAAAGUUGUCCACGUGUGGAUUUUUGUAUGUACCAUAUGAAUAAGGAUCGGCUAACUCCGUGCCAGCAGCCGCGGUAAUACGGAGGAUCCGAGCGUUAUCCGGAUUUAUUGGGUUUAAAGGGAGCCGUAGGCGGAUUGUAAGCUCAGUUGUGAAAGUUUGCGGCUCAACCGUAAAAUUGCAGUUGAUACUGGCAGUCUUUGAGUGCAGUAGAGGUGGGCGGAAUUCGUGGUGUAGCGGUGA
rnacentral:rRNA from 1 species